rnacentral:rRNA from 1 species
AUUGAACGCUGGCGGCAUGCUUUACACAUGCAAGUCGAACGGCAGCGGGGACUUCGGUCCGCCGGCGAGUGGCGAACGGGUGAGUAAUGCAUCGGAACGUGCCUAUCAGUGGGGGAUAACGCUUCGAAAGGAGUGCUAAUACCGCAUAUUCUCUGAGGAGAAAAGCAGGGGACCUUAGGGCCUUGCGCUGAUAGAGCGGCCGAUGUCGGAUUAGGACGUUGGGGAGGUAAAGGCUCACCAAGGCGACGAGCCGUAGCGGGGCUGAGAGGAUGGGCCGCCACACUGGGACUGAGACACGGCCCAGACUCCUACGGGAGGCAGCAGUGGGUAAUUUUGGACAAUGGGCGAAAGCCUGCUCCAGCCAUGCCGCGUGAGUGAAGAAGGGCUUCGGGUUGUAAAGCUCUUUUGUCCGGGAGGAAAUCCUGGCCUCUAAUACAGGUCGGGGAUGACAGUACUGGAAGAAUAAGCACCGGCUAACUACGUGCCAGCCGCCGCAGUAAAAC